AGUUUGAUCCUGGCUCAGGAUGAACGCUGGCGGUAUGCUUAACACAUGCAAGUCGAACGGUGUCUUCGGACACAGUGGCGGACGGGUGAGUAACGCGUGAGAAUCUGGCUCUAGGUCUGGGACAACCACUGGAAACGGUGGCUAAUACCGGAUGUGCCGAGAGGUGAAAGGUUAACUGCCUAGAGAUGAGCUCGCGUCUGAUUAGCUAGUAGGUAGUGUAAUGGACUACCUAGGCGACGAUCAGUAGCUGGUCUGAGAGGACGAUCAGCCACACUGGGACUGAGACACGGCCCAGACUCCUACGGGAGGCAGCAGUGGGGAAUUUUCCGCAAUGGGCGAAAGCCUGACGGAGCAAUACCGCGUGAGGGAGGAAGGCUCUUGGGUCGUAAACCUCUUUUCUCAGGGAAGAACACAAUGACGGUACCUGAGGAAUAAGCAUCGGCUAACUCCGUGCCAGCAGCCGCGGUAAUACGGAGGAUGCAAGCGUUAUCCGGAAUGAUUGGGCGUAAAGCGUCCGCAGGUGGCAAUGUAAGUCUGCUGUUAAAGAGUCUAGCUCAACUAGAUACAAGCAGUGGAAACUACAUAGCUAGAGUACGUUCGGGGCAGAGGGAAUUCCUGGUGUAGCGGUGAAAUGCGUAGAGAUCAGGAAGAACACCGGUGGCGAAGGCGCUCUGCUAGGCCGUAACUGACACUGAGGGACGAAAGCUAGGGGAGCGAAUGGGAUUAGAUACCCCAGUAGUCCUAGCCGUAAACGAUGGAUACUAGGCGUGGCUUGUAUCGACCCGAGCCGUGCCGUAGCUAACGCGUUAAGUAUCCCGCCUGGGGAGUACGCCGGCAACGGUGAAACUCAAAGGAAUUGACGG
rnacentral:rRNA from 1 species